rnacentral:rRNA from 1 species
MCGCUGGUGGCAGGCUUAACACAUGCAAGUCGAACGGUAGCAGGAGGAAGCUUGCUUUCUUGCUGACGAGUGGCGGMCGGGUGAGUAAAGCUUGGGAAUUUGGCUUAUGGAGGGGGAUAACCAUGGGAAACUGUGGCUAAUACCGCRUAAUAUCUUAGGAUUAAAGRCUGGGACUUUUAGCCAGUUGCCAUAAGAUGAGCCCAAGUGGGAUUAGGUAGUUGGUGGGGUAAAGGCCUACCAAGCCGACGAUCUCUAGCUGGUCUGAGAGGAUGACCAGCCACACUGGAACUGAGACACGGKCCAGACUCCUACGGGAGGCAGCAGUGGGGAAUAUUGCGCAAUGGGGGGAACCCUGACGCAGCCAUGCCGCGUGAAUGAAGAAGGCCUUCGGGUUGUAAAGKUCUUUCGGUGAUGAGGAAGGCUUGAAUGUUAAWAGCAUUUAGGAUUGACGUUAGKCACAGAAGAAGCACCGGCUAACUCCGU